rnacentral:rRNA from 1 species
UAUCUGAACCUUCGGGGAACGAUAACGGCGUCGAGCGGCGGACGGGUGAGUAAUGCCUAGGAAAUUGCCCUGAUGUGGGGGAUAACCAUUGGAAACGAUGGCUAAUACCGCAUGAUGCCUACGGGCCAAAGAGGGGGACCUUCGGGCCUCUCGCGUCAGGAUAUGCCUAGGUGGGAUUAGCUAGUUGGUGAGGUAAGGGCUCACCAAGGCGACGAUCCCUAGCUGGUCUGAGAGGAUGAUCAGCCACACUGGAACUGAGACACGGUCCAGACUCCUACGGGAGGCAGCAGUGGGGAAUAUUGCACAAUGGGCGCAAGCCUGAUGCAGCCAUGCCGCGUGUGUGAAGAAGGCCUUCGGGUUGUAAAGCACUUUCAGUCGUGAGGAAGGUGGUGUAGUUAAUAGCUGCAUUAUUUGACGUUAGCGACAGAAGAAGCACCGGCUAACUCCGUGCCAGCAGCCGCGGUAAUACGGAGGGUGCGAGCGUUAAUCGGAAUUACUGGGCGUAAAGCGCAUGCAGGUGGUUUGUUAAGUCAGAUGUGAAAGCCCGGGGCUCAACCUCGGAAUAGCAUUUGAAACUGGCAGACUAGAGUACUGUAGAG